GCUAAACAUGGAUGCUGCUGGCAAUCGAAGUUUUAAGUUACUAUUAUUUUUAAUAUAUAUGAUUAAAAUAUAUAUGAUCUAAAAGCAAGAGAGAAGGAACUUAAAGCAAAAGAGGCUGAACUGAAUAAACGUGAACAGGAGUUGAGAAGGAAAGAGGAUGCAAUAGCACGAGGUGACCGAGAUUCCGUUUAACAAUUUUCUUUAUUGUUGGAACAAGUCUUAUCCAAGAUCAAGAUCAAAGUACUUCACUAAGUUAUAUACGCAGGCAUUGCAAUACUUUGGCUUCAUCUAAGCUUGAACCAGUUGUUUGUUGUAUAUUGUUUCUUAUUCUUUUCUGAUCUUUUUCCUUUGAUUAAUGAGAGUUGGCGAUGAUUUGGUAUUAUUUUCUCACUAGGAUGAAUUUUGUUUUAGAAAUUGUAGUACUCUGUGUUUUUUUUUAUGUAUUAAAUUACAUAUUGAAUCAAUGUUUAUGUAUUAAAUUUAAAUUCAUUAA